CUGUUGCCACUUCCCCGGUGACUCUCUACCUCUCUCUCUAUCUAUCAUCCAUGUGUGUGAUUGUGUGAGUGGAGACAGGUGUGCUGCAGUCGGAGCAGAGCCCCACCAGCUGCAUCCAGUUCCAUAAUCAAGACCUCUACUCAUACUCAGCCCUUCCAAAUUGUAGCCUCUGCACCAUCCCUUCUGCUCCGUCUCCCGUCCCCCGUCUGCUGUCCCUCGUCUCGUCAGCCCCGUUUCCACUGAUUCUGCUCCAGAGCUGCUCUCCUUUCCCCCAGCCUGCAUCAGCCCCAGUUUUUUCCCAGCUACCACUAUUAGUUUCCCCUGGCCUGCUUUAAUAAACACCUUGUCCUACAA